rnacentral:ncRNA from 1 species
GUCCGUGAAGAGACGGACAUGAACUAAUAAGACGAGAAGACCCUGCGGAGCUUCAAUUUACUAGUACAACUAAAAACCACACAAACCCACAGGUCUUUAAACCCCCAUGCCUGUACUAAAAAUUUUGGUUGGGGUGACCUCGGAGCACAGUCAAACCUCCGAACAAUCCAUGCUAAGACUACACAAGCCAAAGCAAACCAAUACUUGCAAUUGACCCAAUAACUUGAUCAACGGAACAAGUUACCCCAGGGAUAACAGCGCAAUUCUAUUCUAGAGUCCAUAUCAACAAUAGAGUUUACGACCUCGAUGUUGGAUCAGGACAUCCUAAUGGUGCAGCAGCUAUCAAGGGUUCGUUUGUUCAACGAUUAAAGUCCUACGUGAUCUGAGUUCAGACCGGAGCAAUCCAGGUCGGUUUCUAUCUAUUC